AGUGAACGCUGGCGGUAGGCCUAACACAUGCAAGUCGAACGGCAGCACAGUAAGAGCUUGCUCUUACGGGUGGCGAGUGGCGGACGGGUGAGGAAUACAUCGGAAUCUACUUUUUCGUGGGGGAUAACGUAGGGAAACUUACGCUAAUACCGCAUACGACCUACGGGUGAACGCAGGGGAUCUUCGGACCUUGCGCGAUUGAAUGAGCCGAUGUCGGAUUAGCUAGUUGGCGGGGUAAAGGCCCACCAAGGCGACGAUCCGUAGCUGGUCUGAGAGGAUGAUCAGCCACACUGGAACUGAGACACGGUCCAGACUCCGACGGGAGGCAGCAGUGGGGAAUAUUGGACAAUGGGCGCAAGCCUGAUCCAGCCAGACCGCGUGGGUGAAGAAGGCCUUCGGGUUGUAAAGCCCUUUUGUUGGGAAAGAAAAGCAGCAGGUUAAUACCCCGCUGUUCGGACGGUACCCAAAGAAUAAGCACCGGCUAACUGCGG
rnacentral:rRNA from 1 species